rnacentral:rRNA from 1 species
GACGGAGGAUGCAAGCGUUAUCCGGAAUUAUUGGGCGUAAAGCGUCCGCAGGUGGCUGUUCAAGUCUGCUGUCAAAGCGCAGAGCUUAACUCUGUACAGGCGGUGGAAACUGAAGAGCUAGAGUAUGGUAGGGGUAGAGGGAAUUCCCGGUGUAGCGGUGAAAUGCGUAGAUAUCGGGAAGAACACCAGUGGCGAAAGCGCUCUACUGGGCCAUAACUGACACUGAGGGACGAAAGCAUGGGGAGCGAACAGG